AUGUCGGUGCUGCCUCGACUUGCGUGCUCCAGGAGGGACGAGGCUUGGGCAAUGACAGCACCUCUGGCGGUCCCGUCCUCGACGGUGUUGCAGCUAUGCUCACCAACGCAUCUGCUCCCUCCUCUAUCGCCGGUGAAGCCCCCUGGGUUCAAGGCUUCGCCCACCCCCAUGCUCAUCUCCAAUGGGCCGCUCCAGUGCACGACAUCCCCGGUGCGGCUCCACAGGGCUGCUGCUGAUCUGCAGCCAGCUGGGGUUGGCCUGACCGUGCUCUUUGAAGAUCGGCAGGAGCCCUUGCUUCCCUCCCCUACAUCAACGCCCCCCAGGCCUCCUGUUGCGCGCCGUAAGACUCUUGCUGGAGUGAACAUUGCCCGGGCAAGUGCGGGCCUCUCGCUGCACAGGACCAGUGCAAGGCUCAAAGCUGCUGGAAGAACAAGGGUGGUGCCGGCGCCGACGGCUAAGGCGGCUGAGAUCCUGGUUGCUCGUAGUCUGGGGAUCGUCAAGGACAGAGAGGACAUCAUGGCCAAGGCCCUGAACGCAUUUGCUGAGCGUUUCAAGGAGCAGCUGCCGCUGGAGGUGAUAUCUGCCAUUCAAGACUUGUUCGGGUUAGAUGGUGUGCAGGCAAUGGGUGUGGAGGACGCCCUCAUCCAGUACGGAGGGGAGGGUGCUAUGGACGUGGAGAGGGUGGAGGAUGCCGCUGUUGCUCUGCAGGCCUCCACCUGA
rnacentral:rRNA from 1 species